GGGGAUGUGGCUCAGUGGUAGAGCGCCCGCUUUGCACGAUCAGUAUCUGGUCAACAACUGUGUUGCGGGAGGCCCAGGUUUCGAUCACCUGCUUCUCCA